UCACAGAUAUAGUACUGUACAGUAUGCCCCUAACUCUUGUUCACAUAGUUUACAAUCGAAACGUUCACCACUGAUCCAGUUUAGUUUAGACAAACAUAUAAAUUGUCACACUAGCUCUCCACUGAUCCAUUUACCUAUUUACAUAUUCCCAGAUACCUAUUUACUGGUGUGAGAGUGAAUGAGCCGCCAUCUGUGGGCGGUGCCGGGAAGCUGGUGAGGUAAACACUGGUGGAGGACCAUGUUUUCAUUGCUGACUAAACGUGAAAAUGCUCAUUCAGAAGGCAUUUGGUCAUGUGCUUGGGGCCAUUUUGUCCCAGAAGAAAAAAAGAAAGACAAUGAAGAUAAUGAGAAAGAGAAUGGCGAAGAAAAUAAAGAAAACCAAG